rnacentral:snoRNA from 1 species
UGUUUAUCUGUGAUGCUUGAAAAUAAAUGUCUGAACAUAUGAAACAUCUGUGAUUUUUAUUUUCCUUUCUGAGAUAAAUG